AUCAAUCACAUCAACAGCCUAUAAGUGGCCACUGCUGACCAAAGGUCUCUUCUCACACGGAGAAGGUUUGAGCAUUAAUCACCACGCUUACUCAAUGCGGGUUGGCGAUUUCAAACUUAUAAUUAGAAAUUAUAAGCCCAGGUUUCCUCACGAUGUUUUCCUUCACCAUUUGUCAGUGGUGUCUAAAUAAUCUUAGAAAGUACAUAUAACUAGGAAAAAGUCACAUUGGUACUUGCCGUUGGUAGGUUUCGAACCCGCACUCUCAUGCAUAAGAAGUGGGCGUUUUAAACUUCCACCAAGAAUAUAAAAAAAACAAUAAUUCGAUGUAAUUCAACUUUGUGUAAUCCACAAAUUGUUGUUUCGGGUCUGGGUGUCAUGUGUAUGUGAACUUGUAUGUUUGUAAACGCACACACGACACAGGAGACAAUCAUAGUAAACAAUUAAAAAUGACAAAAAAAUUACAUAUGACAAAAAAAAAUAAUUACACAAGCGAGAAUAAGACUGAGCAAGUGGUCUCAGGUUCGAUUACCGAGCCGGGCAAGGUAUAAUUGACUUGACUGGACUGUUGGCGCGGUAGCUGGACAACUGGCUGCCGUGAAACGUGGAGCGGGUCGGAGCAAUUCUUUGUGUGAUCCACAAAUUGUUGUUUCGGGUCUGGGUGUCAUGUGUAUGUGAACUUGUAUGUUUGUAAACGCACCCACGACAUAGGAGAAAAUCAUGAGGACAAACAGGAGGUAACCCUAGUGUUUUUUUUUUUGAACGGGGAUAAUCAUCUAAUGACUUCUCCCGCCUUGGGCGAGGCAAGAGGGAAUGUCAGACUCUUACUGACUAAAAACCACCCCGUUCCUACUCCUGCUUUUCGAGCCGGAGCCCCGGUAAACCCGCUAGGUAGUCCGCAGCUCCGGAUAAACAAUCCUAGUGUGGGGCAACGUCUUUUAAAAA